rnacentral:rRNA from 1 species
UUUUCCUACGGGAGGCAGCAGUGAGGAAUAUUGGUCAAUGGCCGGAAGGCUGAACCAGCCAAGCCGCGUGAAGGACGAAGGUGCCAAGCAUUGUAAACUUCUUUUGUCAAGGGACAAAAUCAGGCUCGAGAGCCUGACCGAGGGUACUUGAAGAAAAAGCAUCGGCUAACUACGUGCCAGCAGCCGCGGUAAUACGUAGGGGGCAAGCGUUAUCCGGAUUUACUGGGUGUAAAGGGAGCGUAGACGGCAGCGCAAGUCUGAAGUGAAAGCCAGCGGCCCAACUGCGGGACUGCUUUGGAAACUGC